rnacentral:rRNA from 1 species
CCUACGGGAGGCAGCAGUAGGGAAUAUUGCUCAAUGGGGGAAACCCUGAAGCAGCAACGCCGCGUGGAGGAUGAAGGUUUUCGGAUUGUAAACUCCUUUUGUUAGAGAAGAUAAUGACGGUAUCUAACGAAUAAGCACCGGCUAACUCCGUGCCAGUAGCCGCGGGAAUACGGAGGGUGCAAGCGUUACUCGGAAUCACUGGGCGUAAAGAGCGCGUAGGCGGGAUAGCAAGUCAGAUGUGAAAUCCUAUGGCUUAACCAUAGAACUGCAUUUGAAACUGUUAUUCUAGAGUAUGGGAGAGGUAGGUGGAAUUCUUGGUGUAGGGGUAAAAUCCGUAGAGAUCAAGAGGAAUACUCAUUGCGAAGGCGACCUGCUAGAACAUAACUGACGCUGAUGCGCGAAAGCGUGGGGAGCAAACAGGAUUAGAUACCCCAGGAGUC